GAUGAACGCUGGCGGCGUGCUUAACACAUGCAAGUCGAACGGGAUCCAUCAAGCUUGCUUGGUGGUGAGAGUGGCGAACGGGUGAGUAAUGCGUGACCGACCUGCCCCAUACACCGGAAUAGCUCCUGGAAACGGGUGGUAAUGCCGGAUGCUCCAGUUGAUCGCAUGGUCUUCUGGGAAAGCUUUCGCGGUAUGGGAUGGGGUCGCGUCCUAUCAGCUUGACGGCGGGGUAACGGCCCACCGUGGCUUCGACGGGUAGCCGGCCUGAGAGGGCGACCGGCCACAUUGGGACUGAGAUACGGCCCAGACUCCUACGGGAGGCAGCAGUGGGGAAUAUUGCACAAUGGGCGCAAGCCUGAUGCAGCGACGCCGCGUGAGGGAUGGAGGCCUUCGGGUUGUAAACCUCUUUUAUCGGGGAGCAAGCGAGAGUGAGUUUACCCGUUGAAUAAGC
rnacentral:rRNA from 1 species